rnacentral:rRNA from 1 species
UACGGAGGGUGCAAGCGUUAUCCGGAUUCACUGGGUUUAAAGGGUGCGUAGGCGGGCAGGUAAGUCCGUGGUGAAAUCUCUGAGCUUAACUCAGAAACUGCCAUGGAUACUAUUUGUCUUGAAUAUUGUGGAGGUGAGCGGAAUAUGUCAUGUAGCGGUGAAAUGCCUAGAUAUGACAUAGAACACCAAUUGCGAAGGCAGCUCACUACACAGUUAUUGACGCUGAGGCACGAAAGCGUGGGGAUCAAACAGG